UACGAAGGGGGCUAGCGUUGCUCGGAAUGACUGGGCGUAAAGGGCGCGUAGGCGGUUCAUACAGUCAGAUGUGAAAUUCCCGGGCUUAACCUGGGGGCUGCAUUUGAUACGUGUGGGCUUGAGUGAGGAAGAGGGUUGUGGAAUUCCCAGUGUAGAGGUGAAAUUCGCAGAUAUCAGGAAGAACACCCGUGGCUAAGGCGGCUCUCUAGUACGGUACUGACGCUGAGACGCGAAAGCGUGGGGAGCGAACAGG
rnacentral:rRNA from 1 species